CCUACGGGGGGCAGCAGUGAGGAAUAUUGGUCAAUGGACGCAAGUCUGAACCAGCCAAGCAGCGUGCAGGAAGACGGCCCUAUGAGGUGUAAACUGCUUUUGUACGAGGGUAAAUUGCGAUACGUGUAUCGGGUUGUAAGUACCGUACGAAUAAGGAUCGGCUAACUCCGUGCCAGCAGCCGCGGUAAUACGGAGGAGUCAUGCGUUAUCCGGAUUUAUUGGGUUUAAAGGGUGCGGAGGCGGGUCGUUAAGGGAGAGGUGAAAUCCCGGGGCUCAACUCAGGCACUGCCUCUGCUACUGGCUGGCUAGAGUUUACUUGCGGUAGGCGGAAUGUUUGGUGUAGCGGUCAAAUGCUU
rnacentral:rRNA from 1 species